AAGCUAGAGAGGCAGAUUCUCGGCUUUUGAGCUUCCAAAAGUCCAGGUCCUGACAGUGAUGUGGUAGUGGUGUCUCCCUGUUAUUCACUUUGAAUGAUUAUGAAUCUUACUUCCUCUUGAAACCUUUAAAUAAAGGAUGGUAUGCCUGGGAUGCCUGCCUGCAGUGAGAAAGAGAAGGAAGCAGGGAAUUUAAUAAUGGACUCACCGAUGAGUAGUCAGUUGGUUUCAUUGGUGGAUAUGGAUUCCUCGUGGCUGGAAAAGUGGGC